GAGUUUGAUCCUGGCUCAGGACGAACGCUGGCGGCGUGCUUAACACAUGCAAGUCGAACGGAAAGGCCCCGCUCGCGGGGUACUCGAGUGGCGAACGGGUGAGUAACACGUGGGUGAUCUGCCCUGCACUUCGGGAUAAGCCUGGGAAACUGGGUCUAAUACCGGAUAUGACCUCCCUUUAGUGUGGGGGGUGGAAAGAUUUAUCGGUGCAGGAUGAGCCCGCGGCCUAUCAGCUUGUUGGUGGGGUAAUGGCCUACCAAGGCGUCGACGGGUAGCCGGCCUGAGAGGGUGGACGGCCACAUUGGGACUGAGAUACGGCCCAGACUCCUACGGGAGGCAGCAGUGGGGAAUAUUGCACAAUGGGCGGAAGCCUGAUGCAGCGACGCCGCGUGGGGGAUGACGGCCUUCGGGUUGUAAACCUCUUUCGACAGGGACGAAGUGAAAAUGACGGUACCUGUAUAAGAAGCACCGGCUAACUACGUGCCAGCAGCCGCGGUAAUACGUAGGGUGCGAGCGUUGUCCGGAAUUACUGGGCGUAAAGAGCUCGUAGGUGGUUUGUCACGUCGUCUGUGAAAUUCCGGGGCUUAACCUCGGGCGUGCAGGCGAUACGGGCAAUACUUGAGUGCUGUAGGGGAGACUGGAAUUCCUGGUGUAGCGGUGAAUGCGCAGAUAUCAGGAGGAACACCAAUGGCGAAGGCAGGUCUCUGGGCAGUUACUGACGCUGAGGAGCGAAAGCAUGGGUAGCGAACAGGAUUAGAUACCCUGGUAGUCCAUGCCGUAAACGGUGGGCGCUAGGUGUAGGGGACUUCCACGUUCUCUGUGCCGUAGCUAACGCAUUAAGCGCCCCGCCUGGGGAGUACGGCCGCAAGGCUAAAACUCAAAGGAAUUGACGGGGGCCCGCACAAGCGGCGGAGCAUGUGGAUUAAUUCGAUGCAACGCGAAGAACCUUACCUGGGCUUGACAUACACCGGACCGGCGUAGAGAUACGUCUUCCCUUGUGGCCGGUGUACAGGUGGUGCAUGGUUGUCGUCAGCUCGUGUCGUGAGAUGUUGGGUUAAGUCCCGCAACGAGCGCAACCCUUGUCUUAUGUUGCCAGCACGUGAUGGUGGGGACUCAUGAGAGACUGCCGGGGUCAACUCGGAGGAAGGUGGGGAUGACGUCAAAUCAUCAUGCCCCUUAUGUCCAGGGCUUCACACAUGCUACAAUGGUCGGUACAGCAGGUCGCGAACUCGUGAGAGUAAGCCAAUCCUUCAAAGCCGGCCUCAGUUCGGAUUGGGGUCUGCAACUCGACCCCAUGAAGUCGGAGUCGCUAGUAAUCGCAGAUCAGCAACGCUGCGGUGAAUACGUUCCCGGGCCUUGUACACACCGCCCGUC
rnacentral:rRNA from 1 species